rnacentral:rRNA from 1 species
UACGUAGGGUGCGAGCGUUGUCCGGAAUUACUGGGCGUAAAGAGCUCGUAGGCGGCUUGUCGCGUUGUCCGUGAAAAUUUACCGCUCAACGGUGAACUUGCGGGCGAUACGGGCAGGCUAGAGUUCGGUAGGGGAGACUGGAAUUCCUGGUGUAGCGGUGAAAUGCGCAGAUAUCAGGAGGAACACCGGUGGCGAAGGCGGGUCCCUGGGCCGAUACUGACGCUGAGGAGCGAAAGCGUGGGGAGCGAACAGG